CUUGAUAUAAAUGUUGGGGGAUCUCCUGACACCAAGGACAGGAUUAUGUACCCAGAGCAAGGUGGUUACACACCUUUCAUACCUCCCAUCCUGU